AGUUGUAUUUUGAUGACGAUGUUGCGAUCGCCGCACAAGGCUGCAUGUCAUCAAGAUCUUGAAGCCACCAUCAAUUUCCUGCCUGGCUGUGUUUAUGAAGUGAGCAAGCGGAUAAUCCCCAAGCAGAGCGCGGCUUGAGCAAUUAAACGACAAGCCAGCACCGCCAGUGGAGCUGCACCACCCGCACCCCUCAGCCCAAAAUUCUCAAUGGACGACGUACGCAUGUCAUCAGUCGAUCGUCGCUGCAGCCCAUGGUUGCGGGCUACGAGCAGAAAGUCAAAGCGGGCACACUUCGAUAUAUGUUUCGGGAAAAACGCGUUGGUCACACUACAAUCUUGAAGCCACCAUCAAUUUCCUGCCUGGCUGUGUUUAUGAAGUGAGCAAGCGGAUAAUCCCCAAGCAGAGCGCGGCUUGAGCAAUUAAACGACGAGCCAGCACCGCCAGUGGAGCUGCACCACCCGCACCCCUCAGCCCAAAAUUCUCAAUGGACGACGUACGAAUGUCAUCAGUCGAUCGUCGCUGCAGCCCAUGGUUGCGGGCUACGAGCAGAAAGUCAAAGCGGGCACACUUCGAUAUAUGUUUCGGGAAAAACGCGUUGGUCACACUACAAUCUUGAAGCCACCAUCAAUUUCCUGCCUGGCUGUGUUUAUGAAGUGAGCAAGCGGAUAAUCCCCAAGCAGAGCGCGGCUUGAGCAAUUAAACGAGAAGCCAGCACCGCCAGUGGAGCUGCACCACCCGCACCCCCCAGCCCAAAAUUCUCAAUGGACGACGUACGGCGGGUCAGUGGUGGCCUAAUAGGAGGAAGGGACUAAGCAGGCUCCAUUUAUAAUGCUAAUUUAUGGCAGCAUGUCAUCAGUCGAUCGUCGCUGCAGCCCAUGGUUGCGGGCUACGAGCAGAAAGUCAAAGCGGGCACACUUCGAUAUAUGUUUCGGGAAUAACGAGUUGGUCACACUACAAUCUUGAAGCCACCAUCAAUAUCCUGCCUGGCUGUGUUUAUGAAGUGAGCAAGCGGAUAAUCCCCAAGCAGAGCGCGGCUUGAGCAAUUAAACGACCAGCCAGCAACGCCAGUGGAGCUGCACCACCCGCACCCCCCAGCCCAAAAUUCUCAAUGGACGACGUACGGCGGGUCAGUGGUGGCCCAAUAGGAGGAAGGGACUAAGCAGGCUCCAUUUAUAAUGCUAAUUUAUGGCAGCAUGUCAUCAGUCGAUCGUCGCUGCAGCCCAAGGUUGCGGGCUACGAGCAGAAAGUCAAAGCGGGCACACUUCGAUAUAUGUUUCGGGAAUAACGAGUUGGUCACACUACAAUCUUGAAGCCACCAUCAAUUUCCUGCCUGGCUGUGUUUAUGAAGUGAGCAAGCGGAUAAUCCCCAAGCAGAGCGCGGCUUGAGCAAUUAAACGACAAGCCAGCACCGCCAGUGGAGCUGCACCACCCGCACCCCCCAGCCCAAAAUUCUCAAUGGACGACGUACGGCGGGUCAGUGGUGGCCCAAUAGGAGGAAGGGACUAAGCAGGCUCCAUUUAUAAUGCUAAUUUAUGGCAGCAUGUCAUCAGUCGAUCGUCGCUGCAGCCCAUGGUUGCGGGCUACGAGCAGAAAGUCAAAGCGGGCACACUUCGAUAUAUGUUUCGGGAAUAACGAGUUGGUCACACUACAAUCUUGAAGCCACCAUCAAUUUCCUGCCUGGCUGUGUUUAUGAAGUGAGCAAGCGGAUAAUCCCCAAGCAGAGCGCGGCUUGAGCAAUUAAACGACAAGCCAGCACCGCCAGUGGAGCUGCACCACCCGCACCCCCCAGCCCAAAAUUCUCAAUGGACGACGUACGGCGGGUCAGUGGUGGCCCAAUAGGAGGAAAGGACUAAGCAGGCUCCAUUUAUAAUCCUUUUUUAUGGCUGCAUGUCAUCAGCUCAUCGUAACAGCGGCACAUAGCAUCGUCACAGCGGCACAUAGCUGCACGUCAUGAAUGUCGCUGCUGCACAUGGCUUCAUGUCAGUUGACCGUCUCUGCUUAAGAUGCCUCCAUGUCAGCUGAUUGUCACUGCUGCACAUCCCUCCAUGUCCUAACUGUCAGUGCUGUACAUGGCUCCAUGUCAGCUGAUUGUCACUCUUGUAGAUGGCUCCAUGUCAGCUGUUUUAGUGAAAGCUCUGUAAAGCUUACAGAAACCGAUAGUCAAAGCUGCACAUGGUUGCAUUUUAGCAGUUAUCGAAAGCUCUUGCACUAAAAUUAUUCAGCUUGCUGCGGUUUCUGUUCGCCUGGUACUUCAGACCCAAAAAUUUACAAUUUUAUACUGCUUAAGAUGCCUCCAUGUCAGCUGAUCGUCGCUGCUUGCACUAAAAUUAUUCAGCUUGCUGCGGUUUCUGUUCGCCUGGUACUUCAGACCCAAAAAUUUAAAUUUUUAUACUGAAUCUGACCGACUUGAAUUCUGGGUUUUGCCUACAACAACAACAAACAACUCUUUUACAACAACAAUAAAAAA